rnacentral:rRNA from 1 species
UACGUAGGAUGCAAGCGUUGUCCGGAUUUACUGGGCGUAAAGGGUGCGCAGGCGGAUAUGUAAGUCAGUGGUGAAAUCUCCGGGCUUAACCCGGAAACUGCCGUUGAUACUAUAUAUCUUGAAUGCUGUGGAGGUAAGCAGAAUAUGUCAUGUAGCGGUGAAAUGCUUAGAGAUGACAUAGAAUACCUAUUGCGAAGGCAGCUUACUACGCAGAUAUUGACGCUCAUGCACGAAAGCGUGGGGAUCAAACAGG